UGGGUUUCACCUCGCUUCCACAAAAACAACUUCACCACAAGUACUAAGUACAGAUCUAACUUCCUCUUAUCAUAUUGGAAAUGCAGAGGAAAGUCAGGAACCAGGAACACAAUCCGAAAACCUUGAGGACUCGGAAACCGAGGAUUACAUUCAACCCGGUACAAGCACAGGAACACAAGUGGUCACACAAAGAAGAUCCACGAGACCAACAAAGGGAAUACCUCCCAUAAGAAAUGACUACAUGCUGUACAAAACUGAAGCUCAAGACAUUCAGGCACCAAUUGUGAAGCAUUCUACAAUUAGAGCCUUCCUAGCCGCAUCAGUCUACAAAGGGAUGCAAGUGAUCCACCUCGAUGUCAAGACAGCGUUCCUACACGGCGACCUAGAUAAAGAACUCUACAUGGAACUCCCAGAAGGACUCCAUACAAAACAAACAAACGAAGUCUGCAAACUAAAAAAGGCUAUUUACGGUCUAAAACAAGCUGGAAGAUCUUGGAACACAAAAGUUGCAAGCACUCUAAUUAAAAAUAACUUCAAACAGAGCAUUGUAGACCCAUGCCUAUUCACCAAGAAUGAAGAAAACCAUUCCAUCUACUUGAUUCUAUAUGUGGAUGACAUGCUGCUUGCAAGCGAUUCCGAAAUAAUCAUCCAAAACACUGUAAAAACCCUCGAAAAAGAAUUCGAAAUAAAGAACCUUGGAGACCCCACUCAAUUCAUUGGUAUAGAAAUCUCAAGGAACAGAGAAGGUGAACUCCUUCUGAGCCAAAAGAAUAAAAUCCAAGAAUUAGUUGAAAGGUACAAUCUCCAAGAAGCGAAACCUACUUUCACUCCCAUGGAAAGCGGAUACCCCGGUAUAUCUGAUGAAAAACUUCUACCAAACAACGUCCAAUACCAACAACUGAUAGGCUUACUAUUGUACCUAAGCGUAGUAUCCAGACCAGAUAUCGCAGCUCCAGUCUGCAUACUCAGCAGCAGAAACCAGAAUCCUAGAAAUUGUGACUGGAAUGCAGCAAAAAGAAUCGUAAGAUAUCUAAAAACUACUAAAGAACUCGAGCUACGCAUAUCUAACCAAAAACCUCCCACGCUGGAAGCAUACAGUGAUGCCACAUGGGCAAGCGACAACACCGACAGAAAAUCACUAAGCGGAAACUUGUUCCUACUGGGUUCAAACCCCAUCUCAUGGAUGACUGGGAAACAAGGUUGCGUAUCUCUCUCAUCCACCGAAGCGGAACUUAUCUCCGCAGCUGAAGCCUCACAAGAACUGUUAUGGCUUCUCGACUUGCUAAAGGAUCUCGAACUGGAACAGAAAGCUCCAAUCUACUUCCACCAAGACAAUCAAUCAUGUCUCAAGAUAUGUUCAUCCGAAAAAGUGUCUUCUAGAACCAAGCACAUCGCAACCAAGAUCCAUCACCUGAAGGAUCUUCAGAAGAAGACAGUGAUAAAAAUGGUCUACUGCCCAACUGGCGACAUGAAGGCGGACAUUCUGACCAAGCCGCUACCAAGGCCGACAUUUGAGAAGUUACGCUACAACCUCGUGAUGUCUCCACAUUCAUGCCGGGGAUUUGUUGGAUAACUGAAUGCUACGACAGCUAGCGCCACACUGGACCUAUCAUCAUCACAACUGUUUUGUUUACCUUCUUCUCUAUAUAUUACAAUAACUGUUCGCUACCAUAACUUUGUCUUUUCUUGCUAAAUGGAUAAUAAAGAUUAUUAUCAUAUAAUCCUCAACGUCCUCAUGCCUUCCUACAAGCUGUAAGUACUUAAAUCUUACAACAUAGCUUCUGCCAUUGUGUGAGCAAUUAGGUUUAUAUGAGUAAAAUAAAAGCGGCGGGGGACGAGCAUCGUGAAUUUCGAUAUCAAUGUGAUUAAUUAUUAAACAACGAAUUAGUGAGCUUUUUUAAAAAAAAUAUUUACUCAAUUUUCAACCUUUCCCUCAAUACUUGAACGUACCCCCGUCGCCUUUAUUUUACUCAUAUAAAUUUAAUUGCUCAAUGGCAGUUGAUAAAAUAUUCAUUUUUCCCUCUUUAGUGCAUUUUAAUACAAUAUUUUUUAAAACGGCAUAUUUUCAAUUAUUAUUAUUUAUCAAAAUUCGAAAUUAUUUUAAAGGAGUAAGAUUCUUUUUGAAAAUAAACAAUUUCUCUACUGCUCUUACUGCAAUGGAAAAAUUAAUGGGAGGGCCUGGCUCAUCAGUGGUGAACCCUCCCAGCGGUUUCGCCAGUUUAAUCUACCAUACCGCUGUUAUAUUGCAUUUUUGGUGUUGAAUUAUCUCCCUCCGCUGUAAGCUUUUGGAACAAGCUUUUUCGGAGAACAAACACCGGACAACACAAGGCAAACGGGCCGCAGCAUCUGGAAGUGCGCGCCGUUUGUGAGGGAACCAAGGCAGCACCAAGCACACCUAAGGCUCCGCAGGCUUCAAAAAUAAGGGAUCAUUAGAGAUCAAGAUCAGGAGAUCAAGACCCAGAGAUCAAAAGGUCUGGCUUUUAUCAUUAGCGAGCCCCGUUGGGACUAUAUUGCAUUUUGGGUAACAAUAUUGUUCCGCCUUCUACAUGCUAUCAGGUAAGCAUUCUAAGGCUCUAUUGCAUUUUGGGAACUUCCUUUUAUAGUGAUACUGUUGUUAGACUCUUGGAACGGGUAUUUUAGAAGAACUAUGGACAUAAGCUUUGAGGACAGUAGAGUUACAUACAUUUAUAAAUAUUAGAUAAUAAAAGGCAUAUAUUGGAUUUGAAAAAAUAUUUAUUUUGCCAAUAUUUCGGCUGGCUGAACGCCAACCUUUAUCGAGGCAUUACAUUUUUGUAUACACAAACUCAGCGCCGCAUAGUGUUAUAAUAUCACAGUUGAAAUCAAUUAAAAUAUUUUAAUAGAUACAUACAUUUUUUACAUUUAUCUCUUUAUGAGUUAUUAAUGAAUUAUUUUUAUGUACUUAUUGUUGAAUAUAUGAAUUCAAUUUUAGACUUUAAUAUUUUAUAUAAUAUUGUCACUGAAUAAUUAUUUUAAAUAUUCUGUGGUAUAUCAUCAUUAUAAUAUUUCCAUAGUUAUCACUCCUCACGAUUCUUAUAUAUUAUUACUUGAAUAUAAAUGGUAAGAUAUAGUUUUGCAUAAAUAAACUAUUUUCAAUUACUAAAAUCGUAUGUAUUAAUUUAUAAAAUAAUAUAAAACCCUAAAACCUUUCUAACAGUGGUAGCAGAGCGUGGUUAAAACUUAAAAUCUAAAAUCGUAAAAAUAAAAAUGGCUGCUGUUAUGGAAGAUAUUUCGAUUAUAGAUAAAUUAAAAGACUCUGAAAAUUUUGAUAUUUGGAAAUUUCAAAUUAACAUUAUUUUUAAAGCUAAUAAUUUAAUUGAAACAAUAAAUGGCAAAUUGUGUUUUAAAGAUCAAAAGGAUGAAAAAGAAAAAAACGCAUGGAUAAUAAAAGAUGCUAAAGUCCAAAAAUAUAUUAUUUCGAGCAUCGAUAAAACGAUAUUAACACACAUAAUACACUGUGAAAAUGCCAAAUCAAUGUAUGACACCAUAUGCAGAAUAUUUGAAAGAGAUGAUGAACAAUUAAAAUGUAAGCUGCUAAAAGAAUUUCACACUUAUAAAUUUGAUAAAAAUGUAGACCUUGUAGCCAACAUAAGUAAUUUAAGAAAUUUGGCUUUUAAACUCAAUAAUCUAAAACAGAACUUUGAUGACAAUAUUGUUAUUUCAAAGAUUUUAACAAUUUUGCCAGAAGAAUAUAAUUAUUUUUGUACUGCUUGGGAGUCAACUGGAAAAGAUGAAAAAACUAUUGAAAAUCUAAUAUCAAGAUUGACCACUGAAGAAAUAAGAAGAAACAGACAGAGCCAACCAGAAGACCGAGUGGCUAUGAAUGCAACAAAACAAAAGGUAUGUUUUACUUGUAAUAAACCAGGACAUAUAUCUAAAAAUUGCACCCAAAGAAAAUUCUGCAAAUUUUGUAAAAAAAACUAACCAUGAAGAAAAGAGAUGAUGAACAAUUAAAAUGUAAGCUGCUAAAAGAAUUUCACACUUAUAAAUUUGAUAAAAAUGUAGACCUUGUAGCCAACAUAAGUAAUUUAAGAAAUUUGGCUUUUAAACUCAAUAAUCUAAAACAGAACUUUGAUGACAAUAUUGUUAUUUCAAAGAUUUUAACAAUUUUGCCAGAAGAAUAUAAUUAUUUUUGUACUGCUUGGGAGUCAACUGGAAAAGAUGAAAAAACUAUUGAAAAUCUAAUAUCAAGAUUGACCACUGAAGAAAUAAGAUAAAAGAAAAACUUCAGGACAAUUGAAGGGGAGACAAUGUAACCUAAAUGAAGUAAUAUUUGUGCCUGAAUUAUCAAAAAACCUUUUGUCAGUGAGCUCAAUUGUUAACAACGGAGGAGAAGUAAAUUUUAAAGGUGAUAAAGUGACAAUUUUGAAAGAUGGAAAAAAAGUUCUAGAAGGAGAUCAACUUGAAAAUGGACUUUAUGCUGUAAAUAUUGAACAACAUUUUUCAAAGCAAAAUGACUCGAACCUUACCUUACCAAGUGAAAACAAAACCCAAGAAUGGCACAGAAAAUUGGGACACAUUGGAAUGCAGAAUCUAAGAAAACUUGAAAGUUUGGUUGAUGGUAUGGAGCUUAACAAAUUGGAAAAACAGGAAAAUGAUGUGUGCGAAAUUUGCAUCAUGGCAAAGCAAACUAGGAAGUCAUUUGGAAAUGAAAGAUCUAGAGCUACCCGACCUUUGGAAAUUGUUCAUACUGAUUUGUGCGGCCCAAUAGAACCCUUAACACAUGAUAAUAAGAAAUAUAUAAUGACAUUUUUGGAUGAUUAUACACAUUUCUGUUAUGUGUAUUUGCUCAGCAAUAAAUAUGAAGCAAAAGAAUAUAUUAAAGAAUAUGUAAAUGAAGUAGAAAGAUUUUUAAAUGCGAAAGUGUCAAAAUUAAGGUGUGAUAAUGGCGGUGAAUAUGCCAUUACGCAAGUUAAAGAAUGGUGCAAAAUGAAAGGAAUAAUACUUGAUUUUACAAUUCCAUAUACUCCACAAUUGAAUGGAAAAGCAGAAAGGUUGAAUCGAACUCUGAUUGAAAAAACCAGAGCACUUUUGCUGGAUUCCAAAUUAAAUAAGGAAAUGUGGGGAGAGGCCACAAGAGUCGCUGCCUAUUUAAUCAACAGAAGCCCUUCAAAUACAGUACAAACAACACCAGCACAGAUGUGGUUUGGAAGAAAGCCUAAUCUUUCUAAUGUAAAAUUAUUCGGGAGUGAAGUGUAUGUCAAAAAAUUGGGAAACCUAAAAAAAUUGGAUAGUAAAAGUGAAAAAUAUUCACUUAUCGGAUACAGUGGAAAUGGAUACAGAUUGUGGGACAUGCAGAAAAGAAGGAUUAUAAUUGCAAGAGAUGUGGUGUUUACAGGAAAACUAACAAAUGAAAUGACCAGUGUCAUUCAGCCAAGAUACAGAGAAGAUCUGGAUUCUGAAAUAGAGGAAAGUCAAGACACUAAAAUGGAAUUGGAUACCCAUGAUAAACCACAGAACUCGACCAAUUCAAGAUAUAUGUUAAGGAAUAGAGAAAAUAUCAAUAGACCUGAAAGACUAAAAGAUUAUGAAGUGUUGAAUUCUGUUUCUGGAGAAAUAGGAUUGUUAACAUACAAUGAAGCUGUAACCGGAGUAGACAAAGAAAACUGGGUAAAAGCAAUACAGGAAGAAAAGAUUCAUUGAAGAAAAAUGAAACUUGGGAUUUUGUAAAAGCUGAAUGUGUGAAAGAACUCAUUUAUAUAAAAGCACUUAUUGAAGAACUUACAAAUGAAACCAUACUUGCUAAACUAAAUAUUGACAACCAAAGUGCAAUGACUUUAAUGAAGACAGGACAAAUGAACAGAAAGACAAAACAUAUAGAUGUUCGAUAUCAUUUUUUGAAAGAUCAGAUAAGAGAAAAUGUUGAUGUUCAGUUUUGCCCAACCCAAGACCAAGUUGCUGAUAUCCUAACCAAGCCUCUGCCAAAGGAAACUUUUGAAAAACACAGAUCUUCACUGCUACAGAUGUUUUGAUAGAGUAAUUAAAACUCUAAAACAUGAAUUCAAGAAGGAGUGUUGAAUAUAUGAAUUCAAUUUUAGACUUUAAUAUUUUAUAUAAUAUUGUCACUGAAUAAUUAUUUUAAAUAUUCUGUGGUAUAUCAUCAUUAUAAUAUUUCCAUAGUUAUCACUCCUCACGAUUCUUAUAUAUUAUUACUUGAAUAUAAAUGGUAAGAUAUAGUUUUGCAUAAAUAAACUAUUUUCAAUUACUAAAAUCGUAUGUAUUAAUUUAUAAAAUAAUAUAAAACCCUAAAACCUUUCUAACACUUAUUACAUUUUUUUUUAAAUAUAAGAUAGAACUUUUUUUCCUUUUAUUUUUUAAGAUAUUUUACAUUUUUAGUUGCAUUUUUUAUUUUUUAUAAUAAUUUUUUCAUGCACAAUUUUCUCCCACCUACUCUGUAUUUUAAUUGAUUUCAACUGUGAUAUUAUAACACUAUGCGGCGCUGAGUUUGUGUAUACAAAAAUGUAAUGCCUCGAUAAAGGUUGGCGUUCAGCCAGCCGAAAUAUUGGCAAAAUAAAUAUUUUUUCAAAUCCAAUAUAUGCCUUUUAUUAUCUAAUGAAUUAAGUAUGGAUUGCUCUAUUUUCAAAUUUAUAAAUAUAUAAUAUGCUUCGAGCAAUCGCUCUUCCGCAAAUAUCAAAUUGUUUCUUUUAUUAGAACAUUUAUAAUAUGAUGCACUAGCGCGCCAUCUGUUAUCAAAAUUCGAAAUUAUUUUAAAGGCGUAAUAUUCUUUUUGAAAAUAAUUAUUAUUUAUAAUUGUUAGAGUCAUGAAUUCUAAAGGUACAAAUUUAUUAUAGCCAAAAUAAUUCUAAAUUUACAAAACUUCAUGAUCAAAAGUUAAAUCACACAUAUUAUUUGCAUAAUAUUUAAGAAAAAUAUUUAAAUAUAGCCAUCACUCAAUAUAUAAAAUCAGUAUAAUUUGGGUGAAUAUAUUCACACACUAUAAUAUUAGAAAAAUUACCCCCAGGUUCCUGGAGCGUUCAAAUGUUGUCAGUUAGACUUAGGACUUUUUGGUUUAUCUAUAAUCUGGCCAAAGUUCAAGAAAUUAAGUAGCGCUAAGCAGAUUUAUUUUCUAGAGAUUUUUCCAGCGAUGCCAGGCUGAGAUUGGGAAUUUCUAGAAAAAUGGCUCUCUGAAACAUUUGGUUUUGGAAAUCUAAGGAGAUGAUCGACUUUGUUUGGUUUUCAUUCAGAUCCUCUUUCAAAAUUUUUGCGUAGUAUGCUUGUACUUUGCCAUGGCCAGUUAGAAGGGUUGUUGAAGUGUACUCAUGAUUAUUUGUAGAAAGGGGAUCACAUAUUUUUGGCGUGGCUGUAAAUCUUCUGAGAUUGUUGGUUGAAUAAUCCAUAAUGAAUAGGUCUGUAGUAGAUUUUAUGUGAAUUGAGGUUUUUUUUUCGA